rnacentral:miRNA from 1 species
CGCGGGCUCCGGGGCGGCG